GUGUUCACUUUAGCAGCACAUUUACUAAAAUUGGAAUAAUACAUAGGAGAUUAGCAUGGCCCCGUGCAAGGAUGACACACAAAUUUGUGAAGCCGUCCAUAUUUUU
ensembl:snRNA U6 U6 spliceosomal RNA